rnacentral:rRNA from 1 species
UACAGAGGGCCCAAGCGUUGUUCGGAUUCACUGGGCGUAAAGGGUGCGUAGGUGGCGAGGUAAGUUUGAGGUGAAAUCUCCGGGCUUAACCCGGAAAUGGCAUUGAAUACUCUCUCGCUAGAGGGUUGGAGGGGGGACUGGAAUUCUCGGUGUAGCAGUGAAAUGCGUAGAUAUCGAGAGGAACACCAGUGGCGAAGGCGAGUCCCUGGACAACUCCUGACACUGAGGCACGAAAGCUAGGGGAGCAAACAGG